UUCAAAUAGUCAGAAACACAGUUGUUCCAGCAUGGCUAUUUUAAAACAGGAAUCCAGAGAGGAAUGAGGAAAUUAAUUUAUCAUGCCUGUUGAAAAUCUGUUGGUGCAAAACCCUCAGUGUUUACAGGGGACAUGUAAAUUGCAAAAAUGGAGAUUUCCAACUUUCCAAAAGAAAACUGCUCUUGACUAAGCUGAAGACACUCGAGAUUCCACAAACAGUCCAGCUCUUUUGGAUUUUGCAGUGGUGUGAAUUACUGAUGACAGGACACAAGUGGCUAAAACAAACUAACACUGGUUAUGCAACAAAACGCUAUAAAGCACUCGGGCCUGGCCGUGCAGAAUGGAUAUGCCUGAUGUUCCUGCGGAUCAGAUGCUGCAAGACCUGGGCAAGGUGGAGGAGUACGGCUAUGAAUGCAU